rnacentral:rRNA from 1 species
UGAGGAAUAUUGGUCAAUGGGAGAGAUCCUGAACCAGCCAAGCCGCGUGAGGGAAGACGGCCCUAUGGGUUGUAAACCUCUUUUGUCGGAGAACAAAACCCGGGACGUGUCCCGGACUGCGUGUAUCCGAAGAAAAAGCAUCGGCUAACUCCGUGCCAGCAGCCGCGGUAAUACGGAGGAUGCGAGCGUUAUCCGGAUUUAUUGGGUUUAAAGGGUGCGUAGGCGGUCCGUUAAGUCAGCGGUAAAAUUGCGGGGCUCAACCCCGUCGAGCCGUUGAAACUGGCAGACUUGAGUUGGCGAGAAGUACGCGGAAUGCGCGGUGUAGCGGUGAAAUGCAUAGAUAUCGCGCAGAACUCCGAUUGCGAAGGCAGCGUACCGGCGCCAGACUGACGCUGAGGCA